rnacentral:rRNA from 1 species
CAGCAGCCGCGGUAAAACGUAGGGCGCAAGCGUUGUCCGGAAUUAUUGGGCGUAAAGAGCUCGUAGGCGGUCUGUCGCGUCUGGUGUGAAAUCCCGAGGCUCAACCUCGGGCUUGCAUCGGGUACGGGCAGACUAGAGUGCGGUAGGGGAGACUGGAAUUCCUGGUGUAGCGGUGGAAUGCGCAGAUAUCAGGAGGAACACCGAUGGCGAAGGCAGGUCUCUGGGCCGCAACUGACGCUGAGGAGCGAAAGCAUGGGGAGCGAACAGGAUUAGAUACCCCAGUAGUCCCUGUCUCUUAUAA